AUUGAACGCUGGCGGCAUGCCUUACACAUGCAAGUCGAACGGGGGUAGCAAUACCCUAGUGGCGAACGGGUGAGUAAAGCAUCGGAACGUACCCAGUCGUGGGGGAUAACGUAGCGAAAGUUACGCUAAUACCGCAUACGUCCUGAGGGAGAAAGCGGGGGAUCGCAAGACCUCGCGCGAUUGGAGCGGCCGAUGUCGGAUUAGCUAGUUGGUAGGGUAAAAGCCUACCAAGGCGACGAUCCGUAGCUGUUCUGAGAGGACGACCAGCCACACUGGGAAUGAGACACGGCCCAAACUCCUCCGGGAGGCAGCAGGGGGAAAUUUUGGACAAGGGGGGAAACCCUGAUCCAGCCAUGCCGCGUGAGUGAAGAAGGCCUUCGGGUUGUAAAGCUCUUUCAGACGGAAAGAAAUUGCGCAGGUAAAUAAUCUGUGUAGAUGACGGUACCGUAAGAAGAAGCACCGGCUAACUACGUGCCAGCCGCCGCAGUAAAAC
rnacentral:rRNA from 1 species